CGUGACUACGUGUAAAGACUUCCCCGACAUAGAGGUCACCGAUGAAGCAACAAUUCCAGACCACGUUUGAACCUAUUUGCUACGCUGGGAGUGCGUCAACAGCAACGUCGAUUACUUCCAGUGGUUGUACUACCCAGUGGCACAUACCCAGUGACGCGAGUUGGUGUCAAAGAGGUUCACCUAAUACCAAAACCUGCCCAGUGGCACAUAUCUAGUGACCCAAGUUAGCGUGAAAGAGGGUCGUUGAAUAGCGGCACCUACAGAGUGCCACAUACCGGGUGGCGCAAGUUAGUCCCACGGCUGGUUCAGAAGCCGGUUCCUUCACCACCGCAGCCCAAUGCUCUACCAAUCAUACCAUG